rnacentral:lncRNA from 1 species
UAUAUAUAUGAAAGGUAAGGCUUAUAUUGGCUUUAGCCUAAGAGUAAUAUCUCUCAUAAAAUAAAUAUGCACUAACGUUUAUCAUGCAUAAGAUAAUUCGAUUGAAAUUAAUAUGAGAAGUGCACAUGAGAAUUUAUGAAUUUUUGGCACAAGAGAGAUAUAUAAAAAUGACACUUUUAAGUCAUUUUAAGUUAAACUAAGCCAACAUGGGAACAACCCGAUAAUGUUGAGGCCGUUGCUUCCCAAAUACACAAAGAGCCGGGUAAGGCUUCUCUUUGUCUUGUAGACAUUUCUAAUAUUAGUCUACACAUACAUUCUCACUAUAAAAAGGACAUGCACAUACAUGUAUGAAUAUGAAAAGGCUAAAUGUGAGAAUGAGUCAAACAAACAAAUAGGCAUGUAUUAAUUGAAGCAACAUGAAACAAUAGGAUAUAUAAAGCAAAUGUAAUAUCAACUACAAGUAUUCAUACCCUACAUAUAUGCUUUCAUAACUAUACAAUAUUAAGAUUAACACUUGUAAGAUAUAAACAAGAGUGCACUAAAGUGAAGAAUCACAAGAUGUUCAAACUUUGUAUAUCAUGUAUAAACAAGACAAAGAAUAUUUGUAUAUAAUCAUUAAGCCCUAAUCACAACGUGCAAGUCAAAUAGAGAUAAUAGUCAAUAUGAUUCAUAGGCUCUCAUGAUAACACAAGAACAAUACAAGAAAAAGAAAUAAAAUAAAAUAUGCAUGCAAAACAAAAAGUAAAUAUGCAUGCAUGCUAAACAAGAAAAAAAAAAUUAAAGAUGGCCAAAGGAGGUUUUCAUCUCCUCACUCACACUCUCAAUGCCACUCAUAUACUCAUCUAGAGAAUUCCCAAAAAGUCUAAGAUGAUCAAUAAGCUCAAGGGACAUAUGCAAAACAACAGUCAAUAAGCUCAAGGGACAUAUACUCAUAUUCCUUCGCGAUCACAUAAACACACUCAAUCGCCAAACAACAGUUGCUGAUUUUUAU